GAAAUGCGAUAAGUAAUGUGAAUUGCAGAAUUCAGUGAAUCAUCGAAUCUUUGAACGCACAUUGCGCCCGCCAGUAUUCUGGCGGGCAUGCCUGUUCGAGCGUCAUUACAACCCUCAGGCCCCCGGGCCUGGCGUUGGGGAUCGGCGGAAGCCCCCUGCGGGCACAACGCCGUCCCCCAAAUACAGUGGCGGUCCCGCCGCAGCUUCCAUUGCGUAGUAGCUAACACCUCGCAACUGGAGAGCAGCGCGGCCACGCCGUAAAACACCCAACUUCUGAAUGUUGACCUCGAAUCAGGUAGGAAUACCCGCUGAACUUAAGC
rnacentral:misc_RNA from 1 species